rnacentral:rRNA from 1 species
UGUCCUACGGGCGGCAGCAGUGGGGAAUAUUGCACAAUGGGCGAAAGCCUGAUGCAGCAACGCCGCGUGAGGGACGACGGCCUUCGGGUUGUAAACCUCUUUUAGUAGGGAAGAAGCGAAAGUGACGGUACCUGCAGAAAAAGCACCGGCUAACUACGUGCCAGCAGCCGCGGUAAUACGUAGGGUGCAAGCGUUAUCCGGAAUUAUUGGGCGUAAAGAGCUCGUAGGCGGUCUGUCGCGUCUGCUGUGAAAACUGGGGGGUCAACCUCCAGCCUGCAGUGGGUACGGGCAGACUAGAGUGCGGUAGGGGAGAUUGGAAUUCCUGGUGUAGCGGUGGAAUGCGCAGAUAUCAGGAGGAACACCGAUGGCGAAGGCAGAUCUCUGGGCCGUAACUGACGCUGAGGAGCGAAAGCGUGGGGAGCGAACAGGAUUAGAUACCCCGGUAGUCGUU